GCAAAGAGAUAAAGCCUGUGUCUUUGUGCUUCUUUACAGCCUGUGCUCCGUGGCAAUAAUACAUACCCCACACUGUGCUUAAAUCCCUGGUUUUAUGAAAGCCAGCCCAAUUCCUAUUUGGAUUCUCUGGGAAGCGGUACCGUGAAAGGCACAGGAGAAACCAUAGCAGCAAAGAGAGAUCCGACUGUAAACAGGAUACCUGCCACGGCUGGCUGCAGUGAAGAGUUCCCUUUCAUGGAGCACAACAUUAAAAACUGGAGAUGAAAGCGUGCCAUUCUAAAACAUAUUUGGCUCAAAGAAAAAGAUGCUACCCGGGACUACAAAAGAUCUCUCUUUAAUGAAACUUUAAUUAAACUUGGCUUUAAUUUGGAUCACAAUGAAGAAAAUAGGGAACUUUUCAUGUUGCCUCAAGUGGAGAGUGCUGAUGUC